CCCUUAGAUGUUCUGGGCCGCACGCGCGCUACACUGAUGCAUGCAACGAGUUCUAUCCUUGGCCGGAAGGCCUGGGUAAUCUGUGAACGUGCAUCGUGAUAGGGAUAGAUUAUUGCAAUUAUUAAUCUUGAACGAGGAAUUCCUAGUAAACGCAAGUCAUCAGCUUGCAUUGAUUACGUCCCUGCCCUUUGUACACACCGCCCGUCGCACCUACCGAUCGAAGGUAAUGAUGAGCCCUCAGGAUUUUGGCCUCGUCGCGUCAGCGUCUUGGCUGCGAGAAUCUGUGCAAAUCCCUACCUUUAGAGGAAGGUGAAGUCGUAACA
rnacentral:rRNA from 1 species